rnacentral:rRNA from 1 species
GACGAACGCUGGCGGCGUGCUUAACACAUGCAAGUCGAACGGAAAGGCCCUGCUUUUGUGGGGUGCUCGAGUGGCGAACGGGUGAGUAACACGUGAGUAACCUGCCCUUGACUUUGGGAUAACUUCAGGAAACUGGGGCUAAUACCGGAUAGGAGCUCCUGAUGCAUGGUGGGGGUUGGAAAGUUUCGGCGGUUGGGGAUGGACUCGCGGCUCAUCAGCUUGUUGGUGGGGUAGUGGCUUACCAAGGCUUUGACGGGUAGCCGGCCUGAGAGGGUGACCGGCCACAUUGGGACUGAGAUACGGCCCAGACUCCUACGGGAGGCAGCAGUGGGGAAUAUUGCACAAUGGGCGGAAGCCUGAUGCAGCAACGCCGCGUGCGGGAUGACGGCCUUCGGGUGGUAAACCGCUUUCGCCUGUGACGAAGCGUGAGUGACGGUAAUGGGUAAAGAAGCACCGGCUAACUACGUG